AGCAAGUUGGCGCAGUGGAAGCGCGCCGGGCUCAUAACCCGGAGGUCCCCAGAUCGGUAAGCACAAGCAACUCACUA
rnacentral:tRNA from 1 species